GUAAAUAUAGUUUAUAAAAACACUAGACUGUGAUUCUAGAGAAAGAAACUGACCAUUUCUUAUUUACC
rnacentral:tRNA from 1 species